rnacentral:rRNA from 1 species
AUUGAACGCUGGCGGCAGGCUUAACACAUGCAAGUCGAGCGGAGAUGAGGUGCUUGCACCUUAUCUUAGCGGCGGACGGGUGAGUAAUGCUUAGGAAUCUGCCUAUUAGUGGGGGACAACAUUCCGAAAGGAAUGCUAAUACCGCAUACGUCCUACGGGAGAAAGCAGGGGAUCUUCGGACCUUGCGCUAAUAGAUGGGCCUAAGUCGGAUUAGCUAGUUGGUGGGGUAAAGGCCUACCAAGGCGACGAUCUGUAGCGGGGCUGAGGAGGAUGAUCCGCCACACUGGGACUGAGACACGGCCCAGACUCCGACGGGAGGCAGCAGUGGGGAAUAUUGGACAAUGGGGGGAACCCUGAUCCAGCCAUGCCGCGUGUGUGAAGAAGGCCUUAUGGUUGUAAAGCACUUUAAGCGAGGAGGAGGCUACUGAGACUAAUACUCUUGGAUAGUGGACGUUACUCGCAGAAUAAGCACCGGCUAACUCUGUGCCAGCCGCCGCCGUAAUAC